rnacentral:rRNA from 1 species
GAUGAACGCUGGCUACAGGCUUAACACAUGCAAGUCGAGGGGCAGCGGUAUCGAAAGCUUGCUUUCGGUAGCCGGCGACCGGCGCACGGGUGAGUAACGCGUAUCGAACCUGCCUCAUACUCGGGAAUAGCCUUGCGAAAGUAAGAUUAAUGCCCGGUGUUUUCAGAGUCCCGCAUGAGGCUUUGAACAAAGAUUUAUCGGUAUGAGAUGGCGAUGCGUCCCAUUAGCUUGUUGGCGGGGUAACGGCCCACCAAGGCAUCGAUGGGUAGGGGUUCUGAGAGGAAGGUCCCCCACAUUGGAACUGAGACACGGUCCAAACUCCUACGGGAGGCAGCAGUGAGGAAUAUUGGUCAAUGGGCGGAAGCCUGAACCAGCCAAGUAGCGUGCAGGAAGACGGCCCUCCGGGUUGUAAACUGCUUUUAGUUGGGAAUAAAACGGGGCUCGUGAGCCCCCUUGCAUGUACCAUCAGAAAAAGGACCGGCUAAUUCCGUG